UACGUAGGGGGGCUAGCGUUGUCCGGAAUCAUUGGGGCGUAAAGAGCGUGUAGGCGGCCCGGUAAGUCCGCUGUGAAAGUCGGGGGCUCAACCCUCGAAUGCCGGUGGAUACUGUCGGGCUAGAGUGCGGAAGAGGCGAGUGGAAUUCCUGGUGUAGCGGUGAAAUGCGCAGAUAUCAGGAGGAACACCAAUUGCGAAGGCAGCUCGCUGGGACGUAACUGACGCUGAGACGCGAAAGCGUGGGGAGCAAACAGG
rnacentral:rRNA from 1 species